AGAUGAUGACGGAUAAAAUGAUUAACACCGAAGAUAAUGACGGCCGAUAUGAUCGACGCCGAAGAUAAUGGCGGCCGAGAUGAUCGACGCCGGAGAUGAGGCAAGCUGUCGUCGUCGAUUCAUUAUUUCAAUUUUCAGAAAAAAAUAUAAUUAGAGAAAGAAAUGGGUUAAAUGGUAAAUUCUCAUAUUAAAUGAAUUUGUUUUUGUGAUUUUGGGCCUUGAAUUCUAGAAUGGAAAGAAAAAAGUUGGUAUAUGGCUAUCUAAGGUCAUUUCUCUAAAUAUUAUUUAUGAUGUUAUUAUACAAAAUAAGUUAAUUCUAUUAAACUAUUUAAUAGAUUUUAUAUAUUCUAAAUGCAAAUACUACACCAAAAUCUUCAUAUGGAAACAUUCAGUAAAGAGCAUUUGGAGAGCAUUUACGUCAUCUAA
rnacentral:lncRNA from 1 species